rnacentral:rRNA from 1 species
UUCGCAAUGCCCGAAAGGGUGACGAUGCGACGCCGCGUGAGCGAAGAAGGCCCUAGGGUUGUAAAGCUCUGUCGAGGGUUAUGAAAUAUAGAUGGGUUAAUACCCCAUUUAUUUGACAAAAGCCCAAAAGGAAGCCACGGCUAACUCUGUGCCAGCAGCCGCGGUAAUACAGAGGUGGCAAGCGUUGUUCGGAAUUAUUGGGCGUAAAGAGCACGUAGGUGGGUUUAUAAGUCAGAUGUGAAAGCCUUCUGUUCAACGGGAGAAUUGCAUCUGAAACUGUAAGUCUUGAGUAUAGGAGGGGAGAAUGGAACUUCUGGUGGAGCGGUGAAAUGCGUAGAUAUCAGAAGGAACGUCGGCGGCGAAAGCGACUCUCUGGCCUAUUACUGACACUGAGUGUGCGAAAGUUAGGGGAGCAAACGGGAUUAGAUACCCCGGUAGUCCUAACUGUAAGCGAUGGGCACUAAGUAGAGGGGUUUU